rnacentral:rRNA from 1 species
ACGAACGCUGGCGGCGUGCCUCAUACAUGCCAGUUGAGCGAUGAAGAUUGGUGCUUGCACCAAUUUGAAGAGCAGCGAACGGGUGAGUAACGCGUGGGGAAUCUGCCUUUGAGCGGGGGACAACAUUUGGAAACGAAUGCUAAUACCGCAUAACAACUUUAAACAUAAGUUUUAAGUUUGAAAGAUGCAAUUGCAUCACUCAAAGAUGAUCCCGCGUUGUAUUAGCUAGUUGGUGAGGUAAAGGCUCACCAAGGCGAUGAUACAUAGCCGACCUGAGAGGGGGAUCGGCCACAUUGGGAGGGAGACACGGCCCAAACUCCUACGGGAGGCAGCAGGAGGGAAUCUUCGGCAAUGGACGGAAGUCUGACCGAGCAACGCCGCGGGAGUGAAGAAGGUUGUCGGAUCGUAAAACUCUGUUGGUAGGGAAGAACGUUGGUGAGAGUGGAAAGCUCAUCAAGUGACGGUAACUACCCAGAAAGGGACGGCUAACUACGUG